GUAGGUGGCAAGCGUUGUCCGGAAUUAUUGGGCGUAAAGCGCGCGCAGGUGGUUCUUUAAGUCUGAUGUGAAAGCCCCCGGCUCAACCGGGGAGGGUCAUUGGAAACUGGGGAACUUGAGUGCAGGAGAGGAAAGUGGAAUUCCACGUGUAGCGGUGAAAUGCGUAGAUAUGUGGAGGAACACCAGUGGCGAAGGCGACUUUCUGGCCUGUAACUGACACUGAGGCGCGAAAGCGUGGGGAGCAAACAGGAUUAGAUACCCUGGUAGUCCACGCCGUAAGCGAUGAGUGCUAAGUGUUGGGGGGGUUUCCCGCCCCUCAGUGCUGCAGCUAACGCAUUAAGCACUCCGCCUGGGGAUACGGUCGCAAGACUG
rnacentral:rRNA from 1 species